rnacentral:rRNA from 1 species
CCUACGGGAGGCAGCAGUGGGGGAUAUUGCACAAUGGGCGAAACCCUGAUGCAGCGACGCCGCGUGUGGGAAGACGGUCCUCUGGAUUGUAAACCACUGUCCCACGGGACGAAGAUGACGGUACCUGGGGAGGCAGCUCCGGCUAACUACGUGCCAGCAACCGCGGUAAUACGUAGGGAGCGAGCGUUGUCCGGAUUUACUGGGUGUAAAGGGAGCGUAGGCGGGGAUGCAAGUUGGGUGUCAAAACUAGCGGCUCAACUGGUAGUCGCACUCAAAACUGCAGCUCUUGAGUGAAGUAGAGGCAGGCGGAAUUCCUAGUGUAGCGGUGAAAUGCGUAGAUAUUAGGAGGAACACCAGUGGCGAAGGCGGCCUGCUGGGCUGUUACUGACGCUGAGGCUCGAAAGUGUGGGGAGCAAACAGGAUUAGAUACCCGAGUAGUC